ensembl:lncRNA
GCAGAGGCAAGAUGUUCUGAUGAGAAAGAAUGACAUUGAAGUUGAAUGGGUACGGCAAUAGGAAAUGCCUUUUUGCCCUCUUUUGUAACUUAAGAGCGCCUUAAUUUUUAAAAGGCCAGUUUAGAAAGUAAGAAUAUUUUAGUUAAUCAUUUAGUACUCACUUCAAUUAGAAUACUUACUAAAACUUCCAAUGACAUUACAAUUAAAACUUUGAAAAUAAUUUUAUUACAAAUUCUUGCUCCAUAAAGAUUUCUGCUCUGAAAAGAAAGCAUAUGCAGAAUCACUUCUUUAUCUGUUAUUGUCACAGUAUAAUUCUUUGAAACUACUGAGCAGAAGUCUUAACUGAAAAUACAUUUCUAUACAUCUGAGGUGGUGGUUUUCAUACAAAUGGUAAGCUUGCUCAGCUGCAACUCUCUCAAGUGCAGGAAGGACACUGCUCAGGAAAAGGCAAUGCCCCAAUCUCGUCCACACCACUCAGCAGAGAAUGGGCAACUCCAUAGCUCAAAAAACCUAUGUCCAGUUUGUGAAUUGCUACCGAUCUUCUUGAUGUAAGCUGCCACAAGGCCAAAUUGCCUCACGUUCAGUCAUCUCGGGAUUGUGAUUAUAGAAUUAUAGAAUGGUUUGGGUAGGAAGGGACCUUUCAGAUCAUCCAGUUCCACCCCCCCGCUACAGGCAGCAACACCUCCCACUAGACCAGCUUGCUCAAGGUCCCACCUAGCCUGGCCUUGAAUGCUUCCAGAAUGGGUGCAUCCACAGCUUAUCUGGGCAAACUGUUACAGUAUCUCACCAUCCUCACAGUAAAGAAUUUCUUCUUACAAUCUAGUCCACAAUCUGCCCUCUUCCAUUUCCCUCCAUUCUGUCGCUAAGUGCCCUGAUAAAAAGUCCCUCCCCAGCAUCACCUGCAUUAGUUGAAAUCGGAGCAGAAGGCAGUCUCAGGUAUAGGUGGAAAGCAAGGUUUUCCCACACUUAGUUAAUGGUGUGAAAUAUGGUGUCAAAUGCCUUGCUGAAGUCAAGGCACACAGCAUCCACUGCCCCCCCCCCCAUCUACCCAGCCAGUGAUGACAUCAGAGAACGCUGUCAGGUUGGGGUCAAGCAUGACUUCCCCUUGGUGGAUCCGUGUUGGCUACGCCCGAUAACCUUCUUCUCUUCCAAUGGCUUGGAGAGGGUAUCCAGAACAAGUUGUUCCAUCAUCUUUCUGGGGAUGGAGGUGAGGCUGAGUAGCCUGUAGCUUCCCAGAUCCGCCUUCUUGCACUUUUGAAAGACUGGAGUGACACUGGCUAUCCUCCAGUCUUCAGGCAUCUCUCUCCUGUUUGCCAGGACCUUCCAAAGAUGACAGAGAGCCAUUUAGCAAUCACCUCUGCCAGUUCCUUCAGCACAUGUGGGUGCAUCCCAUCGGGGCCUGUGGAUUAGCGUGCGUUAAUUUUGGCUAGAUGCUCUCUGGCCCAAUCCUCCUCGACCAAGGGGAAGCCUUCCCUUCCCCAGACUUUCUCUCUUACCUACAGGGUCUGGGGUCUGGGGUUCCUAACGGUUAGUCUUAGCAUUAAAGACUGAAGCAAAGAAGGCAUUCGGAAUCUCUGCCUUCUCAGCAUUCCCUGUUACCCAGGCACCCAGCUCAUUUAGUAGAGGUCCCGCAUUUUCCCUAGGCUUCCUUUUACUGUUGACAUACUUCUAAAAAUCCUUUUCUUCUUAUCCUUUACCUCCUUUUCAAGAUUGAAUUCAGAGAGGGCCCCAGCCUUCCUUGUUCCAUCCCUGCAGGCACUGACAACGUUCCUAUACUCUUUGCCGGUGGACAGGCCCUUCUUCCACCGUUCACGGAUGUUCUUCUUUCCUCUCAGCUUAUCUGUGAGCUCCUUGCUCAUCCCCACAGGCCUCUUGCUACCUUUACCCAAUGACUUACUCUUAGGGAUGCACUGAUCUUAAGCUCCAAUAUAUAGGAGGCAGAGGAGGUUCUGUUAGUACAUGUUUACCCAACGGUGAGAUUAAGACACAACAGGUCAAAUGUUAGCCUGACCGGUUUAUUACAAGUCCCAGCUGCUUAGGGAUAUGGGGAAGGAAAGACGGGCAAUAGAAGAGAGAUAAAAGCAAGGAGUCUCUGUAGAAAGCAAGAGAGACGGUCACCACUGUGGAUCCAGCAUGGUCUGUAGUAUGUCCUCUGAUCUCAGGAUCUCAUCCAGUCACUGCGGGAGAUGGGAGAAAGACAGGAAUCUUUGCAGCAAGCAGGCCCGGGGGGCUCUUCCAAAGAGGUUUCUUCCCCUCAGGGAAUUCCUCCAUCACUGGUUUCUUUUCUUUGCGAGUUCUUCUCCCCAGUCCUUACUUUACGGAGGGCCUUUUAUCCCCAGUUUCUCAGGCUUUUUCCUUUUUCUUCUUGACUCUCUGUUAAUGUAGCACAUCUGGCCCUAUCAGAUGUUCUGCCAUGACUCUACCUCAAUGGCAACAAGCGGAUGGUGGUCUUUUUGU